GACAGAAGAGCAGGCUAUCAUCCAUAGGGUCGCAAAGAGUUGGUCACGACUGAGUGACUAAGCACAGCACUCAACACAGCACAGGACAUGGAAGCUACCCAAGUGCUCAUCAACAGAUGAACGAGUAAAGAAGAGGCGGUAUAUACUAACUCAACCAUAGAGAGGAAUGAAAUAAUGCCAGCUGCACAACCUGGAUGGACCUAGAGAUGAUCAUACUAAGAGGGCAUGGAGAGAAUAGCACACGCCUGCACACCCUGCUGUAGAAAGAACAUGAAGAGCUGAAAGGAACGCCCCUGAGGCCAGAAUCUGGAAUGUGGGAGGGCUUGAUUGAGAAGGGUGCAAGAGCUCUUUCCUCCCUGGAGAGACAAGAGACAAGGAGAUCUUUCUUCUCAAGUGGCCCCCAUCUCCUGCUCCUAAUUUUGGUGGCAAAUGCCAUGAAAUCAAAUGAUAAAAAACACAUUCUGGCUAUAACUAUAAGCCCAUGGACUGCAAGGAGAUCCAACCAGUCCAUCCUAAAGGAAAUCAGUCCUGAAGAUUCAUUGGAAGGACUGAUGCUGAAGCUGAAGCUCCAAUACUUUGGCCACUGGGUGUG